GGCCACAGCCAUAUCACCCUGCAGCCCAAGACCGGUUACUCACUGAAGCUAAGCAGGGCUGAGCCUGAUUAGUAGUAGCUAGAUGGGAGACCACAUACAAAAUAAAGCAAAUAAAUAAAUACUAGGUUGCUGUUGGAA
rnacentral:rRNA from 1 species